UACAGAGGGGGCAAGCGUUGUUCGGAAUUACUGGGCGUAAAGGGCGCGUAGGCGGCCUGCUAAGUCGAACGUGAAAUCCCCGGGCUCAACCCGGGAACUGCGUUCGAGACUGGCGGGCUUGAAUUCGGGAGAGGGAUGCGGAAUUCCAGGUGUAGCGGUGAAAUGCGUAGAUAUCUGGAGGAACACCGGUGGCGAAGGCGGCAUCCUGGACCGACAUUGACGCUGAGGCGCGAAAGCCAGGGGAGCAAACGGGAUUAGAAACCCGGGUAGU
rnacentral:rRNA from 1 species